UACGAAGGUCCCAAGCGUUAUCCGGAUUUAUUGGGUUUAAAGGGUGCGUAGGCGGUCUAUUAAGUCUGGUGUAAAAGGCAGUGGCUCAACCAUUGUAUGCAUUGGAAACUGGUAGACUUGAGUGCAGGAGAGGAGAGUGGAAUUCCAUGUGUAGCGGUGAAAUGCGUAGAUAUAUGGAGGAACACCGGUGGCGAAAGCGGCUCUCUGGCCUGUAACUGACUCUGAGGCUCGAAAGCGUGGGGAGCAAACAGG
rnacentral:rRNA from 1 species